rnacentral:hammerhead_ribozyme from 1 species
AUCCAGAUGAUGAGUCCCAAACAGGACGAAAUGUGCAUCCUGAAA